UACGUAGGUGGCAAGCGUUGUUCGGAAUUACUGGGCGUAAAGCGCGCGUAGGCGGCUCUUCAAGUCAGGCGUGAAAGCCCGGGCUUAACUCGGGAACUGCGCUUGAUACUGUCGAGCUAGAGUGUGGAAGGGGCGAUUGGAAUUCCGUGUGUAGCGGUGAAAUGCGUAGAUAUACGGAGGAACACCAGAGGCGAAGGCGGAUCGCUGGGCCAACACUGACGCUGAUGUGCGAAAGCGUGGGGAGCAAACAGG
rnacentral:rRNA from 1 species